rnacentral:tRNA from 1 species
GGAUAUAGCUCAGUGGCAGAGUGCACACUUGGCAUGCAUGAGGUCCUGGGUUCAAUCCCCCAGUGCUUCCA